GGUUGGCUGAGCCGCACCAUGAUGUCUGUCUGCUGCUCUGGCUGGCACGACAAAAGUGAAGUUCAGUGGACACCUAAUGGGGAUGGGGUAUUCUGAUACUUGAUGUUACAAAGGAGUGAAGGAAAGUGUAAAAAGUGGAGGUACAUUUUAAUUUUGAGAAACAGGAGCUCUGCACAUCUUGAAGUUGCUCGCCAUUUUCAAUAUAUUUGGUUGCUGUCAGUGAAUGAGGUGGAAAAUCUUGCAGAGGUGGAAAAGCUUUCAUAUGGUCCUUCACUCUAAAAAGUGUUACAAUUGUC